GCACAUUGGAAGUCCAUUAUAAACCCAAGAACAUCUGGUUGGAUUGCUAUGUAUAAAUAAAAGUAUGUUUUUAUAUUAAAAGGUUAUAAGGCAGAUCUUCAUUGUGUACUCCUUGGAUGUUAAAAACCUACAAACUUCAAAAAUACGAACAACUUCAAAUCCAAAGCUGACUACCAACAGCACAAAGCUGGAAGAUUUUUGAAUAUGUGGACUCUUUUUUCUUUCCAGUCUCCUGACUUGGUCAUUGAUUAGGCAAUGGGGAGAGAACAAUUGGAAGCACUCAAGACAAGAAGAGCAGGAGCAAGUUUCAUUCAAACUACAGUCAGAAAGGUUUACAAGGAGUCCUGGGAAUGCUGUGGAAGUGAUUUGAGCAAGUGGUUGCUACAGAGAAAGAUCCCCAAAUGAAAGAUUGAAGGCAAACGAGGUCCGGGCAGAAGAACAUCAAAACCUAAGGGACUGGUUUAGACAAAACUCAGCAGCACUUUUUCAUGUGGCUGUUGACAAAAAUAGGAUUGCCAACAUGAUUGCCAAUGUCUGAUGACGGAUAUGGCAGAAGAAGAAGAAGAAUUGAUUUUGCAUUAAUCUUGUUACCUUUUUCUUGAACAAUGGUGGUAUCCUUCAGCAUGGAUGCAUUUUUUGCUCAUAGUUAAAUAUGUUAUGCAUCCCCUCCAUAAGCAAACCAUGUCUAUUGUUUAACAAUUCACCAUCUAAUUCUUGCAGUUUUAAUGUAUCGUAACAUUCUCAUAGCAUCUAUUACUUCCUUAUGAUCAAUUCCUCCUGUAUAAACCCAAAAAUGGGGCAGUACUGGAUUUCAGGAGGUUUUUAUUCAUUUACUUAUACUUUUAUUGUUUUUAAAACAGUGACAAAAAGAAAUGGGGAAAAACCGUGCAAAGAUGAAAAUAUGUACAUUGUCAAAGACAAUAGAAAAUUCUUUUAAAAGAAAAUGAGGAAAAAUACAACAAAGGGGGAAAAGUGUUAUAUAUCAUAGUUAUAUAAAUGUACUAUAAGUAUAAAUAUACUUAAAUAAUAAUUGCAUUAGACAACUAUAUAUAGAAUCAUAAUUAUUUACUGUUAAAACAGUAUUGAAUAUCAGGAGUAAGAGUCUCUUAGGACAAGCUGAAGGAAAUGGGUUUAAUUACGGGCACUAUUUCAAAUAUUCUGUGGUUACAUAGAGAGAAGGGAAUGAAGAAAGAUGUAAGUAGGAAUCAGGAAACAGUAUUUCUUUUUUCUGUUUGCCCUGAAAAAGAAAGAAAAUUAUAAUUUUACUCAGUGGCCAUUGCAAUACAAGAAUGCAAAUGCACAAAUAAAAGUAGAAUAAAAUGUACGGAGAUUUAAAACCAAAUUGAACAAUACAUCAAAGCAUAAAAGCAUUAUGACCAUUCAUUCCCUUUAUUGUCAAUUCUAAUCUCAAAGAGAAGAGUUGUUGGAAUGUCUGGUUACUGUAGGAAUCUUUGCAACCUGCUCAGUAAUGUGAGAAUAUAUUGAAAUAUGGCAAAGAGAUGGAACAAAUAAAAAAAAAUGUAUGAUAAAGUGGAUGCAAAACUUCAAAGAAAUAAUCAUAGUACAAUACUGUGGUUUACUUAAGAGAAAUCUAAUUUAAGAGAAAUUAAUAUAAAAUGUGUUACAGAUGGUAUAUAUCUACACCAAUAAUUAUGAUGAUAGACAAAUUGUAUAACAAUAAAUGCUGACCAUGUUGUAGCAAAGAAGAAACAUUUUUAUUAUGUGUGGUGGUUAUGUAAAAGAAAAUUUCAAAAGUACCAGAAAGAAAUACACAAAAGAUGCUCAGAAAAUCUUAAAAGUAAGAUUUGAAUAGAAACCACACAUAUUUUUAUUACUUAUGAUCUCAGAAAACCUAAAUGAAAAGUAACACGAUAAGAUAUAAGUUGCUGCAAGAACAGAUUUGGCGCAACAUUGAAAAAGAAUAAUUUUGUUGACAAUACAAGAUUGGGAAAAUAAAAAGGAAGAAUAUGCAGCAAUGACAAAAUCGACAAUAUAUAAUAGAAGUUCAAGCAAAUUUAAGCAAGAACAACUGCUUUUAUUUACUACCUAUUACACAACAGGGCAAAUUUAGACAUAUGGAAUAUGUUUUCUGGAAAAAAGAUUAUAAGACCAAUUAAAGAUAAUGGAUGAAAGGGCUUUAAUAGAUACUAGCAAUGAUCUUUAAUGUUCACUAUAAAAGAUAAAAAUCUAAAUUGUGGUCAACAGUAAGAGAAACAAGUGGAAGACAUGAAGAGAAUGUGUCACUAGCAUGUUAUCCCACAGUGUUUUUAUUUGUGCUUAGUAGUUGUUCUCUUUGUUUUAUUUGUCACUAUCUAAUACAGAUUUUGUUCCUUCUAUUUCAGUAUGCUAAUAGUAAAAAUAUUAAAAGAAAACCAAAAUAAUACUUCUUCAUGGAUUUUGUCACAAUUUAACAUCUGUGAAUGCCAUUCCAUGGCCAGGGAAGAUAUGACAAGAGAGUCCUUCUUGGAUUGACCUAUAUUUGACAAGUAAACAACAUCAAUAUGUUUUCAAUUCUCUGCUACAACAGAUGCAUUUAUGAUUAACCAAGAGAAAGAGAUAAUUUCUCCCAUCUAGGACCGUGAACAAACUUAGUGCAACGAAGCUUUCUUCAGUAAGGGAAAAGUUAGUGUACAGAGAACAUGCUUUAUCAGAAUUUGUUUAAAAUUUAUUAUGCACUUUGAAAAAAAUAACAAUGGCUGAUGAUUUCCAAGUUGAACCCAGAGUCCUAUUAACAAAUCUGGCUUCUUAAAUGCACUCUGUGCUCUCUAUUUGGGGCAAAGCUUAUAUAAUACAGAUGUUCUGUUGGGUGAUAAACUUGAAUAGAGUCUCCUAUGUCAAUGAUUCUUGAUAACAUCUAACAGCAGUCCUGUGGUAUUUGAAGAAACUUUUCUCAACGCUGAAACAUUCAUUAGUCAGUUUCUAUUAAUAGAAAUGCUAUUGGAAUCUCAGAAAAAGGGCUGUAAUUCUUCUGGUAAACUUGUUUUGUGAACUCUCCGGCCUUAUUUUUGUCCCCCAAAUCUCUGUACCAUUAAUGCUUAAAAUCCAGUUUUCUCUACAUAAAUAUUGUGCAGGUUUUCUAAAUGUCUAUCACUGUGGAAGAGAAAUCAGAGUACAAGUACCCUUAUGACUGGCUGCUUAGUGACCAUUUGAAAUUAUGACCUACCUGAAAAAAAGAAGAUUUUUUGACCUAGAUCUAAAGUUCUGACAGUUGCCCCUCCCAUGGUCAUAUGACACACUUUGAGCACUCAACAAAAUGGAUUUUAUGACUGUUUGCAGUGUCUGAUAAUCAUGCGAGCAUGUUUUAAAAUGGUUUUGUAGAAAACUGGCACUUCAAGUUUUCAGCAAAACUGUGCUAUAGGAAUAAUGGAUUUGCUUAACAAUCCUGGCAUUUGUACUUAAAUGGCAGCAGUAUUCCCUUAAUGACCGUCACAAAAAAAAUCAUCAUAACUGACUUCUUUUAUGACAGUUACAACUUGCAACCAUAAUGGGAAGACUCCAUUACAGUCAUAAUUUGAGGACUACCUGUACUGUAUUGUAAUAGAGUUGUCUCAGCUUUUUGACUGCCUGCUUAUAGACGCUCUAUGUAUCCUCCUCUAUAGCUGCUGUCUUUGACACCUACACUAUGCAUGGCAUGCUUUCGUGAUCUCAUGCCGACAUUGAUCUUAAUUGUCUUGGAUUCCUUUUUAAAAAUUUUUUUUCAGAAAUCAUUCAUCUUGGUCAACCCCCUCAUAAGAUGAUGAGGGUAAGGACUUACCACAGAGCUUGUUUCUGUGUAUACCAGAAGAGGCAUGUUCUCAUCUCAAUAGAUGGAGAAAAAAACAUGAAAUUCAAAUUCAAAUUUAAAGUGAUACUCAUUGCUGAAAUAAAAAUUAAAAGAGGAAAGAACCUGUAAUGUAAGUCUGUUUCAUGCCUCUUUUAAUAUGUACACUGUCUGUUAAAGCUUAGGAGGGUCCUACCAGGGGUGAAAUGCUACUGGUUUGCAAUAGUUCAGGCGAAUCAGUAGUGAUAAAAACUACCGGUUUGCGUGAACCGGUAGUUAAAAAAAGCUACCGGUUCAUCCGAACUGGUAUUUCCGACGAUCAGCAGUGGUCGAUCGAUGUGCUGCGUGGUUUAUAUUCUCUAGAAAGCAGGAAAUCCUGCUUUCCAGCGAAGCUAAAUCGCAUGGCACAGUUGUUCUUCCCCCUCACUGUUCUACUUAUCUUCCCAAGCCUCCUUUUUCCACACUCCUUUGUGAAGUGUGUGUUUGGUGUGCACUGCGCAUACACACGCAGUAUGCUUUUAGCAUGUAAUGCACAUGUGCUCACGUGUAGCGUGCUUUUGGCACACACAUAACAAUCCCCAAACACCCCCCACCCACCCACCACAAAUCCCCCACCCCUAAACCACCCAAACAUCCACACAACAGACAAAGUAAUGCUAUCCAACAGCUCACUGAUGGUGGCCCUUUAGUUCAUUGUUGAGUGCAAUUAUAGCUCUGGGAUAAAAACUAUUCAGAAAAUGUGUGGUCCGAGUUUUAAUUGUUCUGUAUCUUCUGCCAUAAGGCAACAGUCCAAAAAGAUUGUAAGCAGGAUGGGAAGAGUCUCUGAGAAUGUUAUGCAACUUCCUCAAACAGCGAGAUUCGAAGCUGUCAUCCAGGGCUGGUAGCUGGAGCCCAAUGAUAUUCUGGGCAGUUUUAAUGAUUCUCUGUAGAGCUUUUUUGUCCGCUACAGAGUUGCUCCCAUACCAUGCAAGAAUGCUGUAUGUCAGGACACUCUCAAUGGUGCUGCGAUAGUAGGACAGAAGUAGAUGUUGAGAUAGAUUUAUCUUCAUGAGCAUUCUUGGGAAGUACAGCCUUUUCUGUGCCUUCUUCACAAGCAUGUUAACAUUCAUAGUCCAUGCGAGGUCCUUCGAGAUAUAAAUGUCCAGAAAUUUAAAACCACCAACCCUCUCCAUCUCCUCACCAUUUACUGUAUGUACAAUGGUAAAUGUACAUCUCUCUUCUUCCUGAAGUCAAUUACAAAUUCUUUAGUUUCAUUGGUGUUAAGUGUAAGAUUAUUUUCUUUAUACCACAAUGUCAGCCCUUGUACUUCCUUUCUAUAAGCAGACUCAUUGUUCUUAUUAAUGAGCCUCACCACUGUCGUGUCAUCUGCAAAUUUAAUAAUUCCAUUGGUGUUAUACAAUGGGGUGCAGUCAUGUGUAUACAAGGAAUAAAGGAAGGGGCUUAGCACACAACCCUAGGGGGCUCCUGUGCUUAGUAUCAGAGUAGAGGAAUGGUGAGAUUCCAUCCUUACUGCCUGUGGCCUAUCUGUCAGAAAAUCCUUUAUCCACAAACAAAUCCUCUGAUUUAUACCCAAAUUGGACAUUUUAAAAAAACAACCUGUUGGGUAGAAUGGUAUUGAAGGCAGAGCUAUAAUCCACAAAUAACCUUACAUAUGUUCCCUAUUGUUCCAAAUGAUUCAAAAAGUAACUUUGAGACUAGUCCUCACAUUUAUCACCAUUGCAGCAUCCUGCAGUCAUGUGAUUGCCAUUUGUGUGUUUCCCAACUGCUUGUGACAAGGUGAGUUAAUAGAGAACAUGGAAGUAAAAUUGUAAGCCACGUGAUGUUUUGCUUAACAACUCUGGUGAUUCACUUAAUGACCAAAGAGCUUGUAAGCCCAUUGCAAUCUUGUGAUGAUUUGGCGCUAAGCAAUGGAGUUGCUGAUCCCAAUUCCAUUUGCUAAAUGACAACUUACAGUAUGUAUAUACAGGUAGUCCUCAAUUUACAACCAAAACUGAGCCCAGAAUUUAUGUUGCUAACUGAGAAAUUGGUUAAGUGAGUUUUGCCCCAUUUUACAACUUUUCUUUUCACAUUUGUUAAUUGAAUCACUGUAGUUGUUAAAUUAGUAACACGGUUGUUAACUGAAUCUGGUUUUCCCAUUAACUUUGCUUGUCGGAAGAUUGCAAAAGGUGUUCACGUGACCCCGAGACACUGCAAUCAUCAUAAAUGGGACUCAGUUGUCAAGCAUCCAAAUGUAAAUAAUGUGACCAUGGGGAUGCUGCAACGGUCAUAAGUGUGAAAAAUGGUCAUAUGUCACUUUUUUCAGUGCUGUUGUAACUUCGAAUGGUCAGUAAGUGAACUGUUGUAAGUUGAGGACUACCUGUAUUGUAAGUGAAUACUGUAGAAUAAAGCACCAGCUUCUUGUUUUUUGAAA